rnacentral:rRNA from 1 species
AAGACCUUGCGCUUUUGGAGCGGCCGAUGCCUGAUUAGCUUGUUGGUAAGGUAAAAGCUUACCAAGGCUUCGAUCAGUAGCUGGUCUGAGAGGACGGCCAGCCACACUGGGACUGAGACACGGCCCAGACUCCUACGGGAGGCAGCAGUGGGGGAUUUUGGACAAUGGGGGCAACCCUGAUCCAGCCAUGCCGCGUGAGUGAAGAAGGCCUUCGGGUUGUAAAGCUCUUUCAGCCGGAACGAAACGGUUACGGUUAAUACCUGUGAUUACUGACGGUACCGGAAGAAGAAGCACCGGCUAACUACGUGCCAGCAGCCGCGGUAAUACGUAGGGUGCGAGCGUUAAUCGGAAUUACUGGGCGUAAAGCGUGCGCAGGUGGUUUUGUAAGUCAGAUGUGAAAGCCCCGGGCUCAACCUGGGAACU